GGAACUGUUGUGGCUCAGUGGCAAGGCACCUGCUUUUCAUGCAAAAGGUGCCAGGUUCAACCCCUGAAAUCUCCA